UACAGAGGUCUCAAGCGUUGUUCGGAUUCAUUGGGCGUACAGGGUGCGUAGGUGGCGCUGUAAGUCGGGUGUGAAAUUUCGGAGCUUAACUCCGAAACUGCAUUCGAUACUGCGGUGCUUGAGGACUGGAGAGGAGACUGGAAUUCAUGGUGUAGCAGUGAAAUGCGUAGAGAUCAUGAGGAAGACCAGUGGCGAAGGCGGGUCUCUGGACAGUUCCUGACACUGAGGCACGAAGGCCAGGGGAGCAAACGGG
rnacentral:rRNA from 1 species